rnacentral:lncRNA from 1 species
UUGUGAUGAGUGUAUUUGAACCUAAAAUUCAAAAUGAUUUAGAAUGAUUUUGAAAUGAGUUGAAAUGGCUUUUAAAUAAAAAAAAGGAAAGCAGAAAAAAACGAGAAAAACUCUCUCUCUCUCAGUUCUGGCCCGCAGGCCAGAAUUCCUCUCCCCUCUUCGCUCUGGGCCAGAGCCCAUCACACCCUUCUACUUCUCUCUCCCCAUCGGCCUGUUGGCCUGCACGCGCACGCGCAACCGGCCCAAUAGCCGGCCAGUCCGCAUCCUUCCCCUCCCCCCUCGUUUGAGUCACUAAUCAUCAGAUCCAGCGCUGUUGAGUCACUGCCAUGAGGGCCCCACGUGUCGGCGUCUUUCCUUUCUUCCCUAGCGUGACCGAGCAGGAGAUCGUCUACCC